rnacentral:misc_RNA from 1 species
GAUGAAGAACGCAGCGAAAUGCGAUAAGUAAUGUGAAUUGCAGAAUUCAGUGAAUCAUCGAGUCUUUGAACGCACAUUGCGCCCCCUGGUAUUCCGGGGGGCAUGCCUGUCCGAGCGUCAUUGCCGCCCUCAAGCACGGCUUGUGUGUUGGGCCCCCGCCCCCCGGCUUCGGGGGGCGGGCCCGAAAGGCAGCGGCGGCACCGCGUCCGGUCCUCGAGCGUAUGGGGCUUCGUCACCCGCUCUGUAGGCCCGGCCGGCGCCCGCCGGCGACCCCAACCAAUCUUUCCAGGUUGACCUCGGAUCAGGUAGGGAUACCCGCUGAACUUAAGCAUAUCAAUAAGCGGAGGA